AGCCUCAAGGAGUAUCAUAAAGAUUUUCAGAUUUAAAUUUCAGAUAAUACAUAUUGGAGAGCAUUAGGAUCACUUUUCACUUAGUAGGCUUUCUCUCUCCUUUAGUUAUAGAUUUAUGCGAUUAAGUUCCAUAAGAUCUCUCCUUCUGAGAUUUUCUUUCUUUCCCUCAAUUGAUCAUUCCAUUUAAGUGUUUAGAAUUUGAAGAUAAUGUUCAGUAAAAUUGUCAUUCUCAAAAAAAAAAUAUUUUCUACAAGUUUCAGCUUAUUUUCAUAAGACUCAAUGUUUGAGAUAAGACAACCUUUAUAGAACUCAUCUCAAGGUAUAAACUCAUUAUAUA
rnacentral:lncRNA from 1 species